CAAUCUCACUCAAUCAUCCAAGCAUUCAUAAGCAUAAGCAUAUUCGUUGCAUAAUAUCUUUCUUUCGUGUCAAUAAAAGUCCAAAACGUCUUUUCGUUCGUUGUGUUCCAGCAGUUGUUGUGCUGCUCUGUUGGAACUGUAAGUCGUUGUAUCUUGGGAGACAAUUGCCGAAACCGAAGCACUGUUGCGGGGCAAUUUUGUCUUAAGGAGAGAGAACAAAGUUCUUG
rnacentral:lncRNA from 1 species